AGUGAACGCUGGCGGUAGGCCUAACACAUGCAAGUCGAACGGCAGCACAGUAAGAGCUUGCUCUUACGGGUGGCGAGUGGCGGACGGGUGAGGAAUACAUCGGAAUCUACUUUUUCGUGGGGGAUAUCGUAGGGAAACUUACGCUAAUACCGCAUACGACCUACGGGUGAAAGCAGGGGAUCUUCGGACCUUGCGCGAUUGAAUGAGCCGAUGUCGGAUUAGCUAGUUGGCGUGGUAAAGGCCCACCAAGGCGACGAUCCGUAGCUGGUCUGAGAGGAUGAUCGGCCACACUGGAACUGAGACACGGUCCAGACUCCUACGGGAGGCAGCAGUGGGGAAUAUUGGACAAUGGGCGCAAGCCUGAUCCAGCCAUACCGCGUGGGUGAAGAAGGCCUUCGGGUUGUAAAGCCCUUUUGUUGGGAAAGAAAAGCAGCAGGUUAAUACCCCGCUGUUCUGACGGUACCCAAAGAAUAAGCACCGGCUAACUUCGUG
rnacentral:rRNA from 1 species